AUGCCAGGAUCACAAGCCGACGAGACUGACUGGGAGAACCUGACGAAUAAGGAGUUGCAUGAUAAAUUUCAGCAAAUGAUGAGUGGACAAGUGCAAGAUGUGCUAAACAGAUUUGAAGAGGCCAUGGAGAAGAUAGAUGGCAUGGAGAAGACGUUUGAAACAAAGCUCGAUAAUAGGUUUAAUGAAUUGCUCGCGCGUCUUCCACCACCACCACCGGCUUCCCCUAACGCACAUCUACAACAACAACAACAACAACAACAACAACAACAACAACAACAACAACAACAACAACGUCGCUUUCCAAAUCAAGUGGGACGAGCACAACACAUUCCCAUUGACCCUAGGCAAAAUUUUGGUGCCGCUGUUGAUGCUUCUGCCGCUCCUGCUGCUACUGCAGAGGUGGAGGACCAUUACGAGGAUGAGGUUGACCAAAAUCAGAACUACGUGCAACCACCAGCACCACCACCACCAGGUCGUCCUCAUGCAUAUCAUCGCAAUGGUAGGGCUGCACCACCACCUGAGGUACAUGACCAUCUUCGUAAACUAAAAUUGAAUAUUUCACCAUUUGAGGGUAGAUAUGUUCCUGAUAUAUAUCUUACUUGGGAGUUAGAAACUGAACAACGAUUUACAUGUUUACAAUAUCCUGAGGAGAGACGUGUUCCUGCUGCUGUUUGUGCUUUCACUAGAUUUGCAUGUGUUUGGUGGUCUGAACAUUGUAGAUUAUAUCCUAUUCCAGCUACUUGGGCUGCUUUGAAAACUGCUAUGCGUACUCGUUGGGUUCCCCCAUAUUAUCAACGUGAAUUACUUCAAAAAUUACAGCGUUUAAGACAAGGAAAAAAUUAUGUAGAAGAAUAUUAUCAGGAAUUACAAACUGGCAUGAUUAGAUGUGGUAUUGUUGAGGAGAAUGAAGCUAUGCUUGCACGUUUUAUGGGUGAAUUAAAUAGAGAGAUUCAUACCAUUCUAGAGUAUAAGGAGUAUACUAAUAUCACUCGUUUAUUCCAUCUUGCGUGUAAAGCUGAACGUGAAGUGCAGGAUCGAUAG
rnacentral:rRNA from 1 species